rnacentral:lncRNA from 1 species
CAGGAAUCCUGUGCAGCCUUGGGGGCCUGCGUGGGCUUCUGGAGGAGUCCUGGCACUUUUGGGAAGGCAGGCGCCUGUGAGAUGGUCUAUUCUGGGGGCCGCAAACUUUCUUUUGCAUGGAAACUUUCUGCAAAGGCAAUCUUAGGCGGGUCCAAUAAGCAAAAGUGAGCAGAUCAAAAUGAGCUCUUCUUGCGGGUGGGGGACCUGGACGCAUUCCAGGGAAGACCUGGAGGCGCUGGGGCCUCCCAGUCAGCAGACUGCACCUGUGCAUGCUGGGCAUUUAGAAAGGGGUGUGUAUGUGUGUGUUGGGGCGGGGGGCGCUGCUUUCUCCCUCUGAUCCCCUCCGGGAUGGCAAUGCUGGCUCCGACUGCAGCCCGCCCAAGGCCACGGCAUUAGGCCCCAGACUGGGCUCAGCGCUCUGGGUUGCCUGCGAGCAGCAGCCCUGGCGCGCCCGCCACUCCCGGGGCUGGUGCCGGCACGUCCGCGUGCGCGCCCGCGCGCUCCAGCCCGGAUCCCCGCGUCGGGGUGCCCCCCUACCCCCCAGAUUAGGGACCCGGAAUUUGGGAAACAGCAUUCCCAAGGCGCUCCUUACCCACGGGGAGGGAAAGAUCUCGGUCCAGAACCGUCGCAGUGGUUUCUGCAAGGUCCCCCACCUUCAGGCAGGACGCUGCGCCCCCAUUUCCAGGACUGGUCCUUGGACACCGGGAGGCACCAAGGAGGGCCUGGCCAGGUGAGCGGCGUGGAGGCGGCUGUAGGACACGCUCCUGGGGCAGAGGGCCCAGAAAGGGCCUCGUUUGGGGAGGAGCCGGCAGCAGGCCUCCCGAGGGGUCGCCUUCAACCGCCCAGUCCGGCCCCCCUCCCUGCCACUUUCCCUGCGGGAAGAUCACUCCCGUCCCAGAAGCUCAAGCGCUCGGAGACCCGCAGGCCCAGGCGGGGCGGCGUGGCCCCUCCUCCCGGGGCCAUCCUUCCAGGAGACACGCCUC